GACCAUCAGGUCUUUAACUGUUGUGUGUCUAUCCAUAGACUCUUCCCAACCUUGGUCAGCAGCGUCAGCUUCUGAACUUCCAUCAAUGGACUUGCCGUAAAAAGGCAAUCCUGAUAAGGUAGAGAAAUCGUCGAAAGUCAUAGCAAUCUUCUUCCCUUUGACUUGAGCAGUGAAGCCUUCUUCUGUUAACUUGAAAGAUGAG
rnacentral:lncRNA from 1 species